AGACAGCAGUCGCCGCGGUAAUACGUAGGUCCCGAGCGUUGUCCGGAUUUAUUGGGCGUAAAGCGCGCGCAGGUGGUUUAAUAAGUCUGAUGUGAAAGCCCACGGCUCAACCGUGGAGGGUCAUUGGAAACUGUUAAACUUGAGUGCAGGAGAGAAAAGUGGAAUUCCUAGUGUAGCGGUGAGAUGCGUAGAGAUUAGGAGGAACACCAGUGGCGAAGGCGGCUUUUUGGCCUGUAACUGACACUGAGGCGCGAAAGCGUGGGGAGCAAACAGGAUUAGAUACCCGAGUAGUCCCUGUCUCUUAUAC
rnacentral:rRNA from 1 species